AAGCGUUCCCGGUCUCCAUCAACAACAGAAUUGUAAGUCAAGAGUCACGAUUGCAUUGUUCACGCAUCGGCUUCAGUUGCCAUCUCUCUCAGCCUCUCUGAUAAGCAGAUUGCCAUGUUAGAUGAUUUUGAUUUCUUUUAAAGGGGCAACGUAAGAUUACCCGCUAGGCUUCUAGCUCAGCUUCAUCUGAAAAUUCAUUGCCAACCAGCUUUGAUUUAAUGCACCA
rnacentral:misc_RNA from 1 species